rnacentral:tRNA from 1 species
CCCUAGUUUGCUCAGUUGGUAGAGCGCUCCACUUGUAAUGGAGAGGUCCCGGGUUCAAUACCCGGACGAGGCG